rnacentral:lncRNA from 10 species
AAACUUUCUUACUAUUUCCCCGUUACAGAUAACAAAAUUCAAGCAGCAUCUUUCACCACCAGGAGGGAGUCAUCGCAUCUGAGGGUUCAGGUUCUCAAUGCCAAUUUCUCAGCAGUGGUAGGUCAGGUCUUUGAAGCUCCAUCCUAAAAUUGCAGGGCUCUAAAUAACCCAGAUGAAACCUAUUGGGAUGAAUUCACAACUGUCUGCAAGAGAAAGCUCCCGCUGACGUCAAUAGGAGUUUAUCCUGAGGGCCUAAGAAUUAGGGACACAUCAUUGCUCCCUUCUGGAGGAUGCAGCCACAAGCUCCCAUCUUGGAAGCAGAGAGAAGCCUUCACCAGACAAUGAGCCUGCCAGUGCCUGUAUCUUGGAUUUCCCAGCCUUCAACUCUGAGAAAUAAAUUUCGGU